GAAUCCCGUCUUUGACAUGGACUGCCUGUACAUUAUGGUGCGCUCUCAAAGAGUCGAGUUGUUUGGGAAUGCAGCUCAAAAUGGGUGGUAAAUGCCAUCUAAAGCUAAAUAUUGGCGAGAGACCGAUAGCGAACAAGUACCGUGAGGGAAAGAUGAAAGGAACUUUGGAAAGAGAGUUAAACAGUACGUGAAAUUGCUGAAAGGGAAACGCUUGAAGUCAGUCUCGUUGGCUAGAAAUCAGCCUUGCUUUUGCUUGGUGUACUUUCUGGUUGACGGGUCAGCAUCAAUUUUGACCAUUGGAUAAAGUCGUUGGGAAUGUGGCAUCUUCGGAUGUGUUAUAGCCCAUUGUCGCAUACAGUGGUUGGGAUUGAGGAACUCAGCACGCCGCAAGGCCGGGUUUCGACCACGUUCGUGCUCAGGAUGCUGGCAUAAUGGCUUUAAUCGACCCGUCUUGAAACACGGACCAAAGAGUCUAACAUGCCUGCGAGUGUUUGGGUGGAAAACCCAUGCGCGCAAUGAAAGUGAAAGUUGAGAUCCCCUCAGGGAGCAUUGACGCCCGGACCAGAAACUUUUGCGAAGGAUCCGCGGUAGAGCAUGUAUGUUGGGACCCGAAAGAUGGUGAACUAUGCCUGAAUAGGGUGAAGCCAGAGGAAACUCUGGUGGAGGCUCGUAGCGAUUCUGACGUGCAAAUCGAUCGUCAAAUUUGGGUAUAGGGGUGAAAGACUAAUCGAACCAUCUAGUAGCUGGUUCCUGCC
rnacentral:rRNA from 1 species